rnacentral:rRNA from 1 species
ACACGAGCGGCGAACGGGUGAGUAACACGUGGGUGAUCUGCCCUGCACUUCGGGAUAAGCCUGGGAAACUGGGUCUAAUACCGGAUAUGACCUUCGGCUGCAUGGCUGAGGGUGGAAAGGUUUACUGGUGCAGGAUGGGCCCGCGGCCUAUCAGCUUGUUGGUGGGGUAAUGGCCUACCAAGGCGACGACGGGUAGCCGACCUGAGAGGGUGACCGGCCACACUGGGACUGAGACACGGCCCAGACUCCUACGGGAGGCAGCAGUGGGGAAUAUUGCACAAUGGGCGAAAGCCUGAUGCAGCGACGCCGCGUGAGGGAUGACGGCCUUCGGGUUGUAAACCUCUUUCAGCAGGGACGAAGCGAAAGUGACGGUACCUGCAGAAGAAGCACCGGCCAACUACGUGCCAGCAGCCGCGGUAAUACGUAGGGUGCAAGCGUUGUCCGGAAUUACUGGGCGUAAAGAGCUCGUAGGCGGUUUGUCGCGUCGUCUGUGAAAACUCGAGGCUCAACCUCGAGCUUGCAGGCGAUACGGGCAGACUUGAGUACUGCAGGGGAGACUGGAAUUCCUGGUGUAGCGGUGAAAUGCGCAGAUAUCAGGAGGAACACCGGUGGCGAAGGCGGGUCUCUGGGCAGUAACUGACGCUGAGGAGCGAAAGCGUGGGUAGCGAACAGGAUUAGAUACCCUGGUAGUCCACGCCGUAAACGGUGGGCGCUAGGUGUGGGUUUCCUUCCACGGGAUCCGUGCCGUAGCUAACGCAUUAAGCGCCCCGCCUGGGGAAGUACGGCCGCAAGGCUAAAACUCAAAGGAAUUGACGGGGGCCCGC